CUGGACAGGGAGGGAAUGGCAGAGCCAUGAUGACAACAGUGGAUACAUUAAAUAAGAGAAUCUGCCAAGGCUUCAGUAAAUGUAGACAAAUUAGAAGGGUGCAAGGUGGGUCAAGGAGUCCUUUCAGACUGGAUACAUUACAGUGGUGGGUGGAUCCGUGUCUCUCUGUGACCCGAUGAACUGUGUUAUCUGGAGCACUCAAGCUCAUCGUGGGGUCUCCAUCGGCAAACAGGUCCCGGGUGGAUUUCCGGACAAACACGAAGUAGGAGGAACCAGGACUGAGUCAUGGCUCACGACCUGCAGGGAGAAGAACAGCAGCGUUAGGAUCGACCGCACCCCUUCCCCCCCUCCCACGUCUCCAGAAUCUGGGUCUGGAUACGUCGUCUGUCUGGGGAAUAAGGGAGCUUUGCAGGAAAGUCCAGUGUUGCCAACUAGACGUGGUUGAGCUCGUUUCUACACACGGUGUGCUGAGCUGGAACCGAGCUGCCUGGAAAGGGACUGAGCUGAGGGUUAAAGGAUUAUUGUUAGAGGAGCUGGGUAGAUGUGAGGAUACUCAUGCGCUGGAAACUGUGUUAUGAAGUUUAUCUAGAAUUUUAAAUGCAAACUAAUACUAAUCUUUACAGUGUACUGUUUUUACAGUUAGUACACAACAAAACAGAAAAUGGUGAAAUACUUUCUGUCAAAUGUCAAUCAAGCUGCGACUUCAGAAUGCCACUGCUAAUUAACUAAAAAAAAGAGAGAGUGAGAAAGAGGAAUCAAAGUUGUUUGGUUUUUGAAGUGUUAGAGCUGUUUCACCACCAUCCAAUUCAUUUUUUCUUUUAACAGAACAUACUUUAUUUUGUCACUUCACCACACUGCCUAUUCAAAACCUGUUUAGAAUUAUAACGAAAUUACAGCUACUGACAUGAUUCAGUUUUCAGGAAAAGCACAGGUGUUACUGAUGAUGAUGACUCUGUUCUAUUCAAGCAUCCCAGUAAACUGUGACAGUGAUUAAUUUCAUUAUUUACACCUGUGCUUUUUCUACUACAACACAUCACAGUGUCUUCUAUGAAAAAGAGAAGUUGUUUGUCCUUUUUUGUUUAAACUUUUGUUCAUAAACCCUGCACACACA